UGCCUAGCCUGGGAGUAUCUCAUGACCU
rnacentral:piRNA from 1 species